rnacentral:rRNA from 1 species
UACAGAGGUCCCAAGCGUUGUUCGGAUUCACUGGGCGUAAAGGGUGCGUAGGCGGUGCGGUAAGUCUCUUGUGAAAUCUCCAGGCUCAACCUGGAGGGGUCAUUCGAUACUGCCGUGACUAGAGGUCGGUAGGGGAGUGUGGAAUUCCUGGUGGAGCGGUGAAAUGCGCAGAUAUCAGGAGGAACACCCGUAGCGAAGGCGGCACUCUGGGCCGAUACUGACACUGAGGAGCGAAAGCGUGGGGAGCGAACAGG